rnacentral:tRNA from 1 species
GCGAGAGUGGCGGAAUUGGCAUACGCGCUAGACUUAGGAUCUAGUCCUCACAAGGGAUGGGGGUUCAACUCCCCCCUCUCGCA